rnacentral:rRNA from 1 species
CCCCUAGUAACUGCGAGUGAAGCGGGAAAAGCUCAAAUUUAAAAUCUGGCAGUCUUCGAUUGUCCGAGUUGUAGUCUAGAGAAGCAUUUUCCGCGCUGGACCGUGUACAAGUCUCUUGGAAUAGAGCGUCAUAGAGGGUGAGAAUCCCGUCCAUGACACGGACUACCAGUGCUUUGUGAUGUGCUCUCAAAGAGUCGAGUUGUUUGGGAAUGCAGCUCAAAAUGGGUGGUAAAUUCCAUCUAAAGCUAAAUAUUGGCGAGAGACCGAUAGCGAACAAGUACCGUGAGGGAAAGAUGAAAAGCACUUUGGAAAGAGAGUUAAACAGUACGUGAAAUUGCUGAAAGGGAAACGAUUGAAGUCAGUCGCGUUAUUCAGAACUCAGCCUUACCUCGGUAUGGUGCAUUUUCUGUUUAACGGGCCAGCAUCAGUUUUGAUUGCCGGAAAAAGGUUAGAGAAAUGUGGCACCUUCGGGUGUGUUAUAGUCUCUAAUUGUAUACGGUGGUUGGGACUGAGGAACUCAGUACACCUUUAUGGUCGGGGUUCGCCCACGUUUGUACUUAGGAUGCUGGCGUAAUGGCUUUAAGCGACCCGUCUUGAAACACGGACCAAGGAGUCUAACAUGCCUGCGAGUGUUUGGGUGGUAAACCCGAGCGCGUAAUGAAAGUGAAAGUUGGGAUCUCUGUCGUGGAGAGCACCGACGCCCGGACCAGAACUUCUGUGACGGCCCUGCGGUAGAGCAUGUAUGUUGGGACCCGAAAGAUGGUGAACUAUGCCUGA